UCCCUAGUACUGCGAGUGAAGAGGGAAAAGCUCAAAUUUGAAAUCUGGCGGGUCUUGCAUCUGCUCGAGUUGUAGUUUAGAGAAGUGCUAUCCGCGCUGGCCUGUGCAUAAGUUUCUUGGAACAGAACAUCAUAGAGGGUGAUAAUCCCGUCUUUGGCACAGAUAACCAGGGUUUUUGUGAUGCACCCUCGAAGAGUCGAGUUGUUUGGGAAUGCAGCUCUAAAUGGGUGGUAAAUUCCAUCUAAAGCUAAAUAUUGGCGAGAGACCGAUAGCGAACAAGUACCGCGAGGGAAAGAUGAAAAGAACUUUGAAAAGAGAGUUAAACAGUACGUGAAAUUGUUGAAAGGGAAACGCUUGAAGUCAGAUACAUCUUGCAGAGAUCAACUUGGCCAUGGGUUGAGUGUAUUUUCUGUUGAGAUGGGUCAGCAUCAAUUUUGAUCGCUGGAUAAAGCCCAUGGGAAAGUGGCA
rnacentral:rRNA from 1 species